GAGGAGCGAAAGCGUGGGGAGCGAACAGGAUUAGAUACCCUGGUAGUCCACGCCGUWAACGGUGGGUACUAGGUGUGGGUUUCCUUCCUUGGGAUCCGUGCCGUAGCUAACGCAUUAAGUACCCCGCCUGGGGAGUACGGCCSCAAGRCUAAAACUCAAAGGAAWUGACGGGGGCCCGMACAARCGGCGGAGCAUGUGGAUUAAUUYGAUGCAACGCGAAGAACCUUACCUGGGUUUGACAUGCACAGGACGCUGGUAGAGAUAUCAGUUCCCUUGUGGCCUGUGUGCAGGUGGUGCAUGGCUGUCGUCAGCUCGUGUCGUGAGAUGUUGGGUUAAGUCCCGCAACGAGCGCAACCCUUGUCCUAUGUUGCCAGCGGGUUAUGCCGGGGACUCGUAGGAGACUGCCGGGGUCAACUCGGAGGAAGGUGGGGAUGACGUCAAGUCAUCAUGCCCCUUAUGUCCAGGGCUUCACACAUGCUACAAUGGCCGGUACAAAGGGCUGCGAUACCGUGAGGUGGAGCGAAUCCUUUCAAAGCCGGUCUCAGUUCGGAUCGGGGUCUGCAACUCGACCCCGUGAAGUCGGAGUCGCUAGUAAUCGCAGAUCAGCAACGCUGCGGUGAAUACGUUCCCGGGCCUUGUACAC
rnacentral:rRNA from 1 species